rnacentral:rRNA from 1 species
GACGAACGCUGGCGGCGUGCUUAACACAUGCAAGUCGAACGGAAAGGCCCUGCUUUUGUGGGGUGCUCGAGUGGCGAACGGGUGAGUAACACGUGAGUAACCUGCCCUUGACUUUGGGAUAACUUCAGGAAACUGGGGCUAAUACCGGAUAGGAGCUCCUGCUGCAUGGUGGGGGUUGGAAAGUUUCGGAGGUUGGGGAUGGACUCGCGGCUUAUCAGCUUGUUGGUGGGGUAGUGGCUUACCAAGGGUUUGACGGGUAGCCGGCCUGAGAGGGUUACCGGCCACAUUGGGACUAAGAUACGGACCAGAAGCGUACGGGAGGCAGCAGGGGAGAAUAUUGCAAAAUGGGGGGAAGCCUGAUGCAGAAACGCCGCGUGCGGGAUGACGGCCUUCGGGUUGUAAACCGCUUUCGCCUGUGACGAAGAGGGAGUGACGGUAAUGGGUAAAGAAGCACCGGCUAACUACGUG